rnacentral:tRNA from 2 species
CAUUAGAUGGCUGAAAUUUUAAGUAUUGGUCUCUUAAAUCAAUUUAUAGUAUAAUAUACUUCUAAUG